CAAUAGCGUAUACUAAAGUUGUUGCAGUUAAAAAGCUCGUAGUUGGAUUUCUGGUUGCGGACGCCGGUCCGCUCCUCACGGAGUGUGCACUAGGUGUCUGCGUCCAUCCUCGGGGAGAACGCAUUUGGCAUUAAGUUGUCGAGUGUGGGAUCCUCGUCAUUUACUGUGAGCAAAAUAGAGUGUUCAAAGCAGGCUUAGGCCGUUGAAUACAUUAGCAUGGAAUAAUAAGAUAGGACCUUGGUCUAUUUUGUUGGUUUGCACUCCAAGGUAAUGAUUAAUAGGGAUAGUUGGGGGUAUUGUAUUCAAUUGUCAGAGGUGAAAUUCUUGGAUUUAUGGAAGACGAACUACUGCGAAAGCAUUUACCAAGGAUGUUUUCAUUAAUCAAGAACGAAAGUAAGGGAUCGAAGAUGAUCAGAUACCGU
rnacentral:rRNA from 1 species